ACGGCCACAUCACAUUGAUACACUGGUUCACGUACGAUCACUGAAGUUAUGCAACACUGAUCCUGUUCAUUACCUUGAUAAGUGACCGCUUGGGAAUAACAGGUGUUGUAA